UGAUUGAUAUAUAGUGAAUAACACAAGUAUAAAUUAGUGGGUGCUUGGAAACUCUGGCAUGCAUGCCCUGUUCUGGUCAAGUGAAGCCGUUUAACAAAAAAUUUAAGGUUAGAGAGUUUCUGUAAGGAUGAAGGAAAAUUUGAAAUGGCCAAUGAAAAGGCAACAAAGGAAAAUAGGGUGGUGGUCAUGUGGGACCCGUGAUGAAUGACCAUCAUAAACUCCAAAAGAAAAUGGUGGAGCCAGGUGAGAAAAAAUAGGAAAGAAAGUGGACAACUUUUGGUUCCUCGGCCUUUUUUUCAGCAACCGCAUUUCGAAAUGCGGUGAAUAUGAAUGCGGUUGGUUUCAGACGCCAAUCUAGGUGCGGCAAGCGUUACGCAACGCCAUUUGCAGUUCGAAAACGCAUCCCCCAAACCUCAACCGUCGUUCGUAUUACGGCACAGCUUAACCGCAAGGCCAUUUGCGGUUUGAAAAUGCACCCCCAAACCUCAACCGCCAUUCGUAUUGCGGCACAACUUAAUCGCAAGGCCAUUUGCGGUUCGUAAACGCACCCCCCAAACCUCAACCGCCAUUCGUACUACGGCACAGCUUGACCGCAAGGUCAUUUGCGGUUCGAAAACACACCCUCCAAACCCCAACCGCCGUUCGUACUGCGGCACAGCUUAACCGCAAUGCCAUUUGCGGUUCGAUAUGCGGCACCCCAUUCACACUCUGCCGAUCCCAUUCGAACACACCUCCCCACCCAUUCGCGCACACCGCCGAUCAAUUUUGGCAUAGUUGAUAUAUAUAUACACAAAGAUUCAUAUACAAAACAGAUCAAGCAACAUUCUACGAGAGGAAUAUGACUAACCUGCACCGAGAAAAAACAAGAAGAAGUAGUACCCAGCUACGAAAACUCCACACGAACAACAGCAACAGAGAGAUGGUAGAAAAUGCAGUUUAAAACCUUGGUCUUAGCAGAGGAGGAGAGCAAGACAGGUAAGAGGUAUGAAGAAAGGGGGUGUAGGGUUCUGUGAGUUGCGACAGACUCUUCUAACUUUUUUAUAAAAAUAAUGAAAAGGCCUUAAUGGUACAGGGGUACACUAGGAAUUAAAAUUAAAUUAGGAGGUGCAGGACGAGAUAAAGGAAGUGGAGGGAGAAACACUCUUACUUAUAAACUCUUCAACUCCUAAUAAAAAGACUCUUUCAAAGUAACUCUUUCUCUAUGACACCUAUCAUCAUCCAUGAACGAUUUGGUAGAGCAUGAUACAUAUUCUGUACACAUACUAAUUAACGAAAAAUUAGUAUAUACUUUAUAUAUGGCUCUAUAUUAGGACAUUUACCCAAUCAAUAGCCUUCCUUUACAAUAACU
rnacentral:lncRNA from 1 species